rnacentral:rRNA from 1 species
CUGGGUUGAUUAGUGGCGAACGNGGUGAGUAACACGAUGAGUAACCUGCCCCUGACUCUGGGAUAAGCGUUGGAAACGACGUCUAAUACUGGAUAUGAUCGCCGGCCGCAUGGUCUGGUGGUGGAAAGAUUUUUUGGUUGGGGAUGGACUCGCGGCCUAUCAGCUUGUUGGUGAGGUAAUGGCUCACCAAGGCGACGACGGGUAGCCGGCCUGAGAGGGUGACCGGCCACACUGGGACUGAGACACGGCCCAGACUCCUACGGGAGGCAGCAGUGGGGAAUAUUGCACAAUGGGCGAAAGCCUGAUGCAGCAACGCCGCGUGAGGGAUGACGGCCUUCGGGUUGUAAACCUCUUUUAGUAGGGAAGAAGCGAAAGUGACGGUACCUGCAGAAAAAGCACCGGCUAACUACGUGCCAGCAGCCGCGGUAAUACGUAGGGUGCAAGCGUUGUCCGGAAUUAUUGGGCGUAAAGAGCUCGUAGGCGGUUUGUCGCGUCUGCUGUGAAAUCCCGAGGCUCAACCUCGGGCUUGCAGUGGGUACGGGCAGACUAGAGUGCGGUAGGGGAGAUUGGAAUUCCUGGUGUAGCGGUGGAAUGCGCAGAUAUCAGGAGGAACACCGAUGGCGAAGGCAGAUCUCUGGGCCGUAACUGACGCUGAGGAGCGAAAGCAUGGGGAGCGAACAGGAUUAGAUACCCUGGUAGUCCAUGCCGUA